rnacentral:lncRNA from 1 species
UGCACAAGCGUGGCUGGUGCCAGGCAUUGCUCUCCAGCCUCCCUCAGGACUUAUGGUCAUUAAGACAUUUCUCAUAAUGAACACAUAAGCCCCAACACACCCAGCCCUCCCCGCCCAUCUCAGCAGCCAGCCUUCAAGUUUUGCCCUCUGCCAUCCCAGGCCAGGCACUCUGUCACUGUGGGAAUUGUCCUUGCUUUCCUCCCUCUCCCCUUCCUUCCUCUGUGAAGCUUCCUUCCUGGAAGUUUUAAGGAGAGGCCAGAGCCACAGAGCCACAUGGGAGGCUGGAUUCUGAUGCUCCAUAAAUUGAAGCUGAGUUCUCCUACAUAAGACUGCCUCAGCACGCUCAGCAAACUUGCUUCUCUUCACCAGACCACUUCCGUUUUGCUCUUCCCAUUUUAGCUGUCUUCCUCCAGGAUCCAGUGGAGCCAUACAGGAAGCACAGCAAGGGGCAGUCAGUUGGAGGACCUAACAGUGCCUUCUGCCCCUGGCACAUUCACCAGAGAAGAAGACUACUCUGGGACUCACCAGUAUGGGAUGGUGCUAUGGCAACAGUCUCCUUGGAGCUCACUGGAUCCUUAGAAUUAUUUUGUGAUGCUUGUUCUGCAUCUUGAAAUGACAACCUGUGCCUCUGGGACUCAGCUGCAAGGAAGACAAGUGGAAGUGCACUGGAUGGAUGGAUGAAGGCACUCUCCCAGGCUUCCAACUCUUGGUGAUUUUCUGCAAAUAUGGAAAUGAACUGGAAGUGGGCAAAGGUAAUAACAGGGAGACCCUUCGGAGGGUAUUGCAGCUGAAGUGAGAGAUGGUGGCCAGAAUUGGAAUGGUGGUGAGUGUUCUGCCUCGUUUUGUUUCAUGUAGGUUGAUUUGUUUUUUUAGGCAGUUUGAGAGUUCUUUGAGAGCAAAGAGCUUAUUUUAUUCUUCACAGGAUAAAGGAGGAGCCCCACUCCUCACCACCAGUAUGUUCAUAUGAUGCAACAAGAACAUACUCCUUCUCUGCUUGGUCUUCAGUGCAGGGCAGCCUGACACACGCUAUUCUUCUGACCUCCUAUGCCAUCACUGCCCUUUUGGGGGGACAUGAUGCUCAUGUCCCCCAAAUACUUCCCUUUUUCCCCUCUUCCCAAACUAUGACAGGACUUUCCCAGAGCCCUUCUACUUAGAAUGUUCUUCUUUCUUUUUGGCAAAGCCUGGCUUUUCUUGCUAUCUAAAUUUUCUAAUAAAAUACCAACUCUCUGAAGGCUUUUCCUGAUUCCUGGGGUAGUGGCAGCAAUGUGCACCUCUGUGCUCCCAUGGUGCUUUGUUCACGUCUGGAGUUUUGCACCUGCUCACACCAUGUUGUACACUCUCUGCUUGAGUGUCUGUCUCCUAACCAGAUCCCUAGCUCCUAGUUACAAACUCA